AAGUCGUAACAAGGUUUCCGUAGGUGAACCUGCGGAAGGAUCAUUAGAGAUUCGUGGCGCAAGCCACAACCACACACACACCGUGAACCGUGGGCUUCGGCCCCAUUACAAACUCUUGCUGUAUAAGAACGUGAAACAUAUGUAACAAUGAAAAAACUUUCAACAACGGAUCUCUUGGCUCUC
rnacentral:misc_RNA from 1 species